rnacentral:rRNA from 1 species
AACGAACGCUGGCGGCAUGCCUAACACAUGCAAGUCGAACGAGACCUUCGGGCUUAGUGGCGCACGGGUGCGUAACGCGUGGGAACCUGCCCUUAGGUUCGGAAUAACUCCCCGAAUGGGGUGCUAAUACCGGAUAAUGUCUUCGGACCAAAGAUUUAUCGCCUUUGGAUGGGCCCGCGUUGGAUUAGCUAGUGGGUAGGGUAAAAGCCUACCAAGGCGACGAUCCAUAGCUGGUUAGAGAGGAUGAUCAGCCACACUGGGACUGAGACACGGCCCAGACUCCUACGGGAGGCAGCAGUGGGGAAUAUUGGACUAUGGGCGGAGGCCUGAUCCAGCUAUGCCGCGUGAGUGAUGAAGGCCGUAGGGUUGUAAAGCUCUUUUACCCGGGAUGAUAAUGACGGUACCGGGAGAAUAAGCUCCGGCUAACUCCGUG